AAAUGAAUUGACGGGGACCCGCACAAGCAGCGGAGCAUGUGGUUUAAUUCGAAGCAACGCGAAGAACCUUACCUGGAUUUGACAUCCCUUGGACCGCUUCUUAACCGGAGCCUUCCCUUCGGGGACCAAGGAGACAGGUGGUGCAUGGUUGUCGUCAGCUCGUGUCGUGAGAUGUUGGGUUAAGUCCCGCAACGAGCGCAACCCUUGUUUUUAGUUGCCAUCAAGUAAAGUUGGGCACUCUAGAAAGACUGCCAAGUUAAACUUGGAGGAAGGUGGGGAUGACGUCAAAUCAUCAUGCCCCUUAUGUCCAGGGCUACACACGUGCUACAAUGGCCGAUACAAAGGGCAGCAAGAGGGUAACCUUAAGCCAAUCCCAUAAAGUCGGUCCCAGUUCGGAUUGUGGGCUGCAACUCGCCCAUAUGAAGCAGGAGUUGCUAGUAAUCGCGGAUCAGCAUGCCGCGGUGAAUACGUUCCCGGGUCUUGUACACACCGCCCGU
rnacentral:rRNA from 1 species